AUGAACGCUAGCGACAGGCUUAACACAUGCAAGUCGAGGGGCAGCACAGGUAGCAAUACCGGGUGGCGACCGGCGCACGGGUGAGUAACGCGUAUGCAACUUGCCUAUCAGAGGGGGAUAACCCGGCGAAAGUCGGACUAAUACCGCAUGAAGCAGGGGCCCCGCAUGGGGAUAUUUGCUAAAGAUUCAUCGCUGAUAGAUAGGCAUGCGUUCCAUUAGGCAGUUGGCGGGGUAACGGCCCACCAAACCGACGAUGGAUAGGGGUUCUGAGAGGAAGGUCCCCCACAUUGGUACUGAGACACGGACCAAACUCCUACGGGAGGCAGCAGUGAGGAAUAUUGGUCAAUGGGCGUAAGCCUGAACCAGCCAAGUCGCGUGAGGGAUGAAGGUUCUAUGGAUCGUAAACCUCUUUUAUAAGGGAAUAAAGUGCGGGACGUGUCCCGUUUUGUAUGUACCUUAUGAAUAAGGAUCGGCUAACUCCGUGCCAGCAGCCGCGGUAAUACGGAGGAUCCGAGCGUUAUCCGGAUUUAUUGGGUUUAAAGGGUGCGUAGGCGGCCUUUUAAGUCAGCGGUGAAAGUCUGUGGCUCAACCAUAGAAUUGCCGUUGAAACUGGGGGGCUUGAGUAUGUUUGAGGCAGGCGGAAUGCGUGGUGUAGCGGUGAAAUGCAUAGAUAUCACGCAGAACCCCGAUUGCGAAGGCAGCCUGCCAAGCCAUUACUGACGCUGAUGCACGAAAGCGUGGGGAGCAAACAGGAUUAGAUACCCUGGUAGUCCACGCAGUAAACGAUGAUCACUAGCUGUUUGCGAUACACUGUAAGCGGCACAGCGAAAGCGUUAAGUGAUCCACCUGGGGAGUACGCCGGCAACGGUGAAACUCAAAGGAAUUGACGGGGGCCCGCACAAGCGGAGGAACAUGUGGUUUAAUUCGAUGAUACGCGAGGAACCUUACCCGGGUUUGAACGCAUUCGGACCGAGGUGGAAACACCUUUUCUAGCAAUAGCCGUUUGCGAGGUGCUGCAUGGUUGUCGUCAGCUCGUGCCGUGAGGUGUCGGCUUAAGUGCCAUAACGAGCGCAACCCUUGCCACUAGUUACUAACAGGUGAUGCUGAUGACUCUGGUGGGACUGCCAGCGUAAGCUGCGAGGAAGGCGGGGAUGACGUCAAAUCAGCACGGCCCUUACAUCCGGGGCGACACACGUGUUACAAUGGCGUGGACAAAGGGAGGCCACCUGGCGACAGGGAGCGAAUCCCCAAACCACGUCUCAGUUCGGAUCGGAGUCUGCAACCCGACUCCGUGAAGCUGGAUUCGCUAGUAAUCGCGCAUCAGCCAUGGCGCGGUGAAUACGUUCCCGGGCCUUGUACACACCGCCCGUCAAGCCAUGGGAGCCGGGGGUACCUGAAGUCCGUAACCGAAAGGAUCGGCCUAGGGUAAAACUGGUGACUGGGGCU
rnacentral:rRNA from 1 species